UAGGAACCAAUAAAAGUUAGUAUUCAUCAUUAACACAAAUAAACGAAGAAUAAAAAAAAUACAAGAUAUAAAAGUCAUCAAUGUGUGCCACAUGAAGGAGGCUUCCUUCUUCGUUGUGGCCGUUGGUGACAUCUUUCCAACUCGGAUUGAUCUGAGGGACCAUCUAAUGUUGCUUCAUUUCCUCGUCUUCGUCCCCGUCCUCGUCCUCGACCUCUUCCUCGUCCACGUCCUUCAUCUUGCACUUGUGCCUCUAGAUGUUGUUCA
rnacentral:lncRNA from 1 species